AUUCUUGAAGACAGCUCGACCGUGAUGGAGGAGACAGGCAUUUAGAAUAAGCAUGAAAUAAAGGUGGCUGUUAAGGGGUCAGCUCCCCUCACCAAAGUCACUUUUGAUUUACUUACAAAAGUUUUCUUAAGAUUUCUUCAGAACCCAGGUCAAAAGGCUGUGGCAGGAGGCCAGGCAGAUCACAGCGUCCAUGCCUAGAUGCUCCCUGACCCCCAGGAACCAGAAGUGCUGUCUCCUGAAGGCUCUGGAAACCCGGAAUCAGCCUACGAGGCACCAGGGCCACCUUGGAGGGUGGAAAUGAGGACCUCAGGCCCCAGAGGGCAUGCAGGCGAGGUGAAGUUCAGGAGAGCUGUGUGGUUUAUGGCAAGUCACUCUGUGCCUCUGUCUCCACGUGUUCAAGGAGGCAGCCGGUCCAAGGGGCCUUCAUAGAAGGGGCUGCCGAGAUGUGAGCCCUGCAUUGGGGGGAUGCCCCACAGAGGUGCUGUCCCCCAUCCCCUUUCCAGGUAUGAGUGUCCCCCAGCUCUGAGUGAAUCAGUAGGAGGUGCUGGACCUGGGCUGAUUCUCACAGUGGGACCUCAACUCUAGCCCCGGGUUGGCUGACAUUAGAGGACUUUGGGUCGUUGUUCUGGCAGCUGCAAGGAAGAGCCAAUGUCAGGGAGGGAAACCCCACAUUCCCUGGCACUAUCCAAACAAAGGUUUGGUUAAAACAAAGAAUUCUCAUGGAGAAGAGUCUGAAGGACCCAAAACACAUAUUUCUGUAGACAUCCCAUCCCAAAAUAAACCCAUGGAUCAAGCCAGACCCAAAUACAAGGAUGCUGUGAACCACAUGGUUGAAUAUUCCACACUUUCCCCAUCCAUUAAACCCCACCCAGGGUGGGAAGGGGAUGGAUUUCCCUCAGUUCUCAGGGCCUAGAAGAGCAGGGCUUUUUUCCCUCAACUGGUUGAGUUUUACUUUGUGAGCACCAUGAUUCCUAAAACCAGUUAUAUUUUCUUUUUCUCUUGGGCCGCCAGGGAACUCACAGCGAAAUCUACCAACCAAAGAGGAUGUCCAUACCUGUCUUUUUCUUUCUUCCUUCAUUUUUUGACUUAAUUUCCUCACUUGAAAAAAAAAAAUAAAACACCUUAUUCAGGGUAUACUUUAUGGGCAGUCUUAAUUUUUUUUAUUAGGAUGUGGGAUGUA
rnacentral:lncRNA from 10 species